UACGAAGGGGGCUAGCGUUGCUCGGAAUCACUGGGCGUAAAGGGUGCGUAGGCGGGUCUUUAAGUCAGGGGGGAAAUCCUGGAGCUCAACUCCAGAACUGCCUUUGAUACUGAAGAUCUUGAGUUCGGGAGAGGUGAGUGGAACUGCGAGUGUAGAGGUGAAAUUCGUAGAUAUUCACAAGAACACCAGUGGCGAAGGCGGCUCACUGGCCCGAUACUGACGCUGAGGCACGAAAGCGUGGGGAGCAAACAGG
rnacentral:rRNA from 1 species